rnacentral:rRNA from 1 species
GUCCACGCCGUAACGAUGAAUACUAGGUGUUGGAAGCAUUGCUUCUCGGUGCCGUCGCAAACGCAGUAAGUAUUCCACCUGGGAGUACGUUCGCAAGAAUGAAACUCAAAGGAAUUGACGGGACCCGCACAAGCGGUGGAGCAUGUGGUUUAAUUCGAAGCAACGCGAAGAACCUUACCAAGUCUUGACAUCCUUCUGACCGGUACUUAACCGUAUCUUCUCUUCGGAGCAGGAGUGACAGGUGGUGCAUGGUUGUCGU